GGGACGGGCGGGAGCCGGACGGGCUGCUCCUCCGCGGCGCGCGGCGCUAGCGGCCUCGGUCGGAGGCUGGGCCGGGGCCGGGGCCGGGGCCGGGCAGGGUUGGGCAAGGCGGCAGGAGCCGCGGCCCGGCUGGAUCCGGGACCGCCGCCGAGUCGACGGCGAAGGGCGGGGCGACCGGGAUUUAAAGGGGCCGCAUCACCCGCUGCCGCUGGGAGCACCACGAGGGGGCGGGGUGGGAGGCCAGCGCCCGGGAUCCCGGUGGGCCCGACUCGGGAGCACGGCUUGCGCGUGGAAUAGCGCGCCCUGAGGGAGAGGUGGUCUAGUCUCAGGAAAGUCGAGGUGAUGAAUGAAGGUCAGCUCCUGUACAGCAGGGACAGACCGCGGAGGUGCCAGCCCCACAAGUCGGCUUCCAGGAAGAUCUCAUGGACAACUCCCCACACCCAGACCUUCAAGCCCUCCUCCCGAUCGAGAGGAUCUAGGCUUGGGAGGGGACCCGAGUGACCCGGCUGAGGUUAUCUCUAGAUAACUGGCGUGGCCAGGAGUGCCCGCUGCCCUCUCCUGCGCCCACCAGUACCGCCUUCCCAAGACAUUCUCUGCUGCGCCUCGGAUGGUGUGGAGCACCCUCCGGAGCCCAGCCGGCUAGCUUCCCGGUGCCAGCGUGCCGUGGGCGAGAGUCAGGCUCAACCUGCAGUUUAGAGGGGCACCAGGUCCGCAGAGUGACUCCAGGCUCUGGCUCCAAUUUGUACAGCGAUCGCCUCAGCUUUUAUUGCUGGUCUGGUCUUGCACUUUCCAUACACGGACUCAUUACAGACUUCCCCCCAGGCCUCUGCUGAACCGGGAACUGGACGCAUAAUGAAAGGACUGGUUGGGCCAGGAGGGCAGCUUCUGGGCAUGCAUUUUGGUAGCGCCAUGUCUACUUCCCUGUUUGGGCCUCACCGCCAUUCAAAAUGGAACCAAAUGCUACUUUGUAAAAUGGAGCUACGCAGGACCCGCGUGAUGACUGCUACUACCAUUCUUCCUCGGGAACCACACGGUGGAAGGAGUGAAAUAACUCCUGCGAUUUGUUCUCCGAUCUUCGCAUGCUAGCUGUGGUCACACACACACACACACACACACACACACACACACGUGCGUUUGUGUGUAUGUCCAGGAGGGCCCUGCUGGGGAUGGUGGCCCCUCCGGGUGUGUGAUCAAGAGGCCAGCCAGGACUGCACAGUAAAAUCUUGGGGGCGGUGGGAGGGGUGUCAGGUGACCCACAGAAGGCAAGGCACAGCUAGAAAGCCACUGUUUGACAGUUUGGAAUGACUUCGAGCAGGUUACAGCCUUAUUUCCACACCUUAUCUUGUUGGAGCCCUCUGAAGGAAACUGUUCCGGUUUGUUUUUCUGUAUUUUCAUAGGAGUCUUCUCUGUGUUGCAAAGAAUAGCAGGUUUUCAUUUUGGUCA